CGCGGCCUAUCAGCUUGUUGGUGGGGUGAUGGCCUACCAAGGCGACGACGGGUAGCCGGCCUGAGAGGGUGUCCGGCCACACUGGGACUGAGAUACGGCCCAGACUCCUACGGGAGGCAGCAGUGGGGAAUCUUGCGCAAUGGCCUAACGGCUGACGCAGCGACGCCGCGUGUGGGAUGAAGCUCCUCGGAGUGUAAACCACUGUUGCCCGGGACGAAUAGCUCGAUUAAUCGAGCCUGACGGUACCGGGUGAGGAAGCACCGGCUAACUCCGUGCCAGCAGCCGCGGUAAUACGGGGGGUGCGAGCGUUGUCCGGAAUCACUGGGCGUAAAGGGCGCGUAGGUGGUUUGAUAAGGGUGUGGUGAAAGUCCGGGGCUCAACCCCGGAUCUGCCGUGCCGACUGUCAAACUCGAGGACUGUAGAGGCAGACGGAAUUCCGGGUGUAGCGGUGGAAUGCGUAGAGAUCCGGAGGAAGACCGGUGGCGAAGGCGGUCUGCUGGGCAGUUUCUGACACUGAGGCGCGACAGCGUGGGGAGCAAACAGGAUUAGAUACCCUGGUAGUCCACGCCGUAAACGAUGGGUACUAGGUGCCUGGGGGAGCGACCCUCUGGGUGCCGGCGCUAACGCAGGAAGUACCCCGCCUGGGAGUACGGA
rnacentral:rRNA from 1 species